rnacentral:rRNA from 1 species
AUUGAACGCUGGCGGCAGGCCUAACACAUGCAAGUCGAGCGGAUGAAGGGAGCUUGCUCCUGGAUUCAGCGGCGGACGGGUGAGUAAUGCCUAGGAAUCUGCCUGGUAGUGGGGGAUAACGUCCGGAAACGGGCGCUAAUACCGCAUACGUCCUGAGGGAGAAAGUGGGGGAUCUUCGGACCUCACGCUAUCAGAUGAGCCUAGGUCGGAUUAGCUAGUUGGUGGGGUAAAGGCCUACCAAGGCGACGAUCCGUAACUGGUCUGAGAGGAUGAUCAGUCACACUGGAACUGAGACACGGUCCAGACUCCUACGGGAGGCAGCAGUGGGGAAUAUGAGACAAUGGGCGAAAGCCUGAUCCAGCCAUGCCGCGUGUGUGAAGAAGGUCUUCGGAUUGUAAAGCACUUUAAGUUGGGAGGAAGGGCAGUAAGUUAAUACCUUGCUGGUUUGACGUUACCAACAGAAUAAGCACCGGCUAACUUCGUG